GAUCCUGGCUCAGGACGAACGCUGGCGGCGCGCCUAACACAUGCAAGUCGAGGGGAAACGACAUCGAAAGCUUGCUUUUGAUGGGCGUCGGCCGGCGCACGGGUGAGUAACGCGUAUCCAACCUGCCCAUCACUUGGGAAUGACCUUGCGAAAGUAAGACUAAUACCCAAUGAUAUCCCACGAAGGCAUCCGAAUGGGAUUAAAGAUUUAUCGGUGAUGGAUGGGGAUGCGUCUGAUUAG
rnacentral:rRNA from 1 species